GGGAUUGUGGCUCAGUGGCAGAGUACUUGCCUCACAAGUAUGAGUCACUGGGUUCAAUUCUCAGCAUCACA
rfam:Ictidomys tridecemlineatus contig068256, whole genome shotgun sequence.